UACUCCUACGGGAGGCAGCAGUGGGGAAUAUUGGACAAUGGGGGAAACCCUGAUCCAGCGACGCCGCGUGAGUGAAGAAGUAUUUCGGUAUGUAAAGCUCUAUCAGCAGGGAAGAUAAUGACGGUACCUGACUAAGAAGCUCCGGCUAAAUACGUGCCAGCAGCCGCGGUAAU
rnacentral:rRNA from 1 species